AACGCGAAGAACCUUACCUGGGUUUGACAUGCAUCUCUAAGUCGGUGAAAGCCGAUGAGCGUAGCAAUACGCAAUUUGCACAGGUGCUGCAUGGCUGUCGUCAGCUCGUGUCGUGAGAUGUUCGGUUAAGUCCGGCAACGAGCGCAACCCUCGUCCUUAGUUGCCAGCGGGUAAUGCCGGGGACUCUAGGGAGACAAACCUCUUUUUAGAGGUGGGAAGGUGGGGACGACGUCAAGUCAGUAUGGCCCUUACACCCAGGGCUGCACACGUGCUACAAUGCCCGAUACAAAUGGACGCAAAACCGCGAGGUGGAGCAAAUCCUGAAAAUCGGGCCCAGUUCAGAUUGGAGUCUGCAACUCGACUCCAUGAAGCCGGAAUCGCUAGUAAAGGUGUAUCAGCAACGGCACCUUGAAUACGUUCCCGGGCCUUGUACACACCGAGACGAC
rnacentral:rRNA from 1 species